UCCGAGUUGACCCCGGCAGUCUCCCAUGAGUCCCCACCAUUACGUGCUGGCAACAUGGAACGAGGGUUGCGCUCGUUGCGGGACUUAACCCAACAUCUCACGACACGAGCUGACGACAACCAUGCACCACCUGUACACCGCCCCGAAGGACCCCACAUCUCUGUGAGUUUUCAGUGCAUGUCAAGCCUUGGUAAGGUUCUUCGCGUUGCAUCGAAUUAAGCCGCAUGCUCCGCCGCUUGUGCGGGCCCCCGUCAAUUCCUUUGAGUUUUAGCCUUGCGGCCGUACUCCCCAGGCGGGGCGCUUAAUGCGUUAGCUGCGGCACGGAGAUCGUGGAAAGACCCCCACACCUAGCGCCCAACGUUUACAGCGUGGACUAC
rnacentral:misc_RNA from 1 species